rnacentral:rRNA from 1 species
UACGGGGGGGGCAAGCGUUAAUCGGAAUUACUGGGCGUAAAGCGUGCGCCGGCGGUUCUGUAAGACCGAUGUGAAAUCCCCGGGCUUAACCUGGGAACUGCAUUGGUGACUGCAGGGCUAGAGUGUGUCAGAGGGAGGUGGAAUUCCGCGUGUAGCAGUGAAAUGCGUAGAUAUCUGGAGGAAUACCGGUGGCGAAGGCGGCAUCCUGGACCAUAACUGACGCUGAGGCGCGAAAGCUAGGGGAGCAAACGGG